rnacentral:rRNA from 1 species
AACGAACGCUGGCGGCGUGCUUAACACAUGCAAGUCGAACGCGAAAGGGACUUCGGUCCUGAGUAAAGUGGCGCACGGGUGAGUAACGCGUAGAUAACCUGUCUUCAUGUCUGGAAUAAUACGCCGAAAGGGGUACUAAUACCGGAUAUUCUUGCUUUUCAUAAGUUAUGCAAGCAAAGGUGGCCUCUGCAUAUGCUACUGCAUGAAGAGGGGUCUGCGUACCAUUAGCUAGUAGGUGGGGUAAUGGCCUACCUAGGCGACGAUGGUUAGCGGGUCUGAGAGGAUGAUCCGCCACACUGGCACUGGAACACGGGCCAGACUCCUACGGGAGGCAGCAGUGAGGAAUAUUGCGCAAUGGGGAAACCCUGACGCAGCGACGCCGCGUGAGUGAGGAAGGCCUUCGGGUCGUAAAGCUCUGUCAAGAGGAAAGAAGUGUACAAUGGCUAAUACCUGUUGUAUUUGACGGUACCUCUAAAGGAAGCACCGGCUAACUCCGUGCCAGCCGCCGC